GACGAACGCUGGCGGCGUGCCUAAUACAUGCAAGUAGAACGCUGAAGGAAGGAGCUUGCUCUUUCUGGAUGAGUUGCGAACGGGUGAGUAACGCGUAGGUAACCUGCCUGGUAGCGGGGGAUAACUAUUGGAAACGAUAGCUAAUACCGCAUAAAAUUGAUUAUUGCAUGAUAGUCAAUUAAAAGGUGCAACUGCACCACUACCAGAUGGACCUGCGUUGUAUUAGCUAGUUGGUGGGGUAACGGCUCACCAAGGCGACGAUACAUAGCCGACCUGAGAGGGUGAGCGGCCAGACUGGGACUGAGACACGGCCCAGACUCCCACGGGAGGCAGCAGUAGGGAAUCUUCGGCAAUGGGCGGAAGUCUGACCGAGCAACGCCGCGUGAGUGAAGAAGGUUUUCGGAUCGUAAAGCUCUGUUGUAAGGGAAGAACGAGUGUGAGAGUGGAAAGUUCACACUGCGACGGUAUCUUACCAGAAAGGGACGGCUAACUACGUG
rnacentral:rRNA from 1 species